GGAGACCUCCACACACGCAACCUGGAGACCUCUGAACGUAUGCGUCAGAGUAACCGACAAUUUGAUCACUUGUCAGUUCCCCGCGUCUUGACUCAAUCUCAGACGUAAAUCAACGACCUGCCGGCCCGACCAUAAUUCUGCCCGACCAUUUCUAUUCAACCACUUAUACAGACCAACCUACGAACCCUAAGCUGUAACUAACCAAGUAUCUCUGACCUCCGUCUUUCACCACCUUGACAGCAUCUCAGGACUGAAUGGAUCUACUCAUAAGGUAAAGUGCAACCCAGCAUGUGGAAAGCACAGAAAUGAGUCUAAGGAAAUAGCACAUUGAACAAUACAAAAUGCCAGUCGCAUGGAAACCCAAAUCUUGCUGAAGAGAGCAGAGCUGGCAGAACUGAAAUCGUUUGGCAGCUGCAGAGAUGAAACUGAACUGAACAAACAGUUUCUUAAGUGAUGCUUGGAUAGAAGAAAUUGGAAAUGGUUCAGUUUUUUUUGAAUUCAUUUAAAUGUGUGAAUCCUGCUUGUUACAGUCUUGGGAGUAAUUUAUUACAUAUAUAAUAUGUUAUAUUAUAUAUAAUGUAACAUGUGUAACAUAUGUACAUCACUAUAUUUAUUUUAUGAUAAUACUGAGGAUGUUGAAGAAAGGUAUUAGGAGAAAUUCCUACUAUAGAAAAAAUAUAGCAAUGUAAAUAAAGCUGAUUAUAGUCAAUACAUGCAUGCAACAGUAUACAGUUUUUGCAGCAAUCUGUACAGGUGACAUGAUAAAUUAUUCUUAUUUUUAUUGUCCAAACUGAGUUCUGCUUUAUAAAGUGGAACCUUCCCAAAAUGACUAGUCAAAGGCCACUGCCUACCUGCAGCAGAUAUUCAGGGAGGCAGCUUCAUACUGUGCUGAGAAAUGCUGGCUUUGGAAAUUUAAUAUGUGUUAUCCAUCAAGGUUUAAAAAUGACAGAUUUAUAAACAACUUUCUGCAGAGCAGACACUUUCAAAUCAUAUAGCUCAUCAAAUGCAAAGUCAAUUCCUGUUAGUUUCUGCAAUAGGAUGUGCCCUUUUAGUUUCCAGUCAGGUCAGCAUCCGCAGUGGGCCCAAACUUAACAAAAGCUGCAUAAUGGUAACAGGCUUCAGUUCAACCAACUUCAACUGUUUAAGGUAUGAAAAUUCUGAAUUUACUAGUAUUUGAAGAGACAGGUAUUCUUCAUUGUCUAAAUUAUCUUUUCUGUUGGAAAAUCCAAAGAAGAGAUGAAAACUCUUGCAUAGAGUAUCUUCCUCUCUCUCUGCAACAGCUUCUUAUUCAGCAUGAGGUCUUCAUAGCAAGUGAGUUUGGUUUUGUUGGCAUUUGGUUACACUAACCAAGGCAGCCAACUGGCUCUGGAUCCGGUGUUGUAAUGCUUAUUGAGUUUUAUCUUUGUACUAAAUUCAGCACUUUCUAUACAAUGCAAUGCGGAUAUAUCAAAUGAAAUGCAUUACUUUUCAGAAGUAGCAACAUGGAUUUUUGGUAGUGCUAUGAAUCUCUGACUGUCAGUCCAGUACUCUGUGGUAAUAUAGAUGGGGGUGAUUUUAAAACAUCAAUUAUAUAAAUUAAGAUAUACAAAAGUACUGCUAAUUACUCUGAGGUGAAAAUAAA